rnacentral:rRNA from 1 species
GACGAACGCUGGCGGCGUGCUUAACACAUGCAAGUCGAACGGAAAGGCCCUGCUUUUGUGGGGUGCUCGAGUGGCGAACGGGUGAGUAACACGUGAGUAACCUGCCCUUGACUUUGGGAUAACUUCAGGAAACUGGGGCUAAUACCGGAUAGGAGCUCCUGCUGCAUGGUGGGGGUUGGAAAGUUUCGGCGGUUGGGGAUGGACUCGCGGCUUAUCAGCUUGUCGGUGGGGUAGUGGCUUACCAAGGCUUUGACGGGUAGCCGGCCUGAGAGGGUGACCGGCCACAUUGGGACUGAGAUACGGCCCAGACUCCUACGGGAGGCAGCAGUGGGGAAUAUUGCACAAUGGGCGGAAGCCUGAUGCAGCAACGCCGCGUGCGGGAUGACGGCCCUCGGGUUGUAAACCGCUUUCGCCUGUGACGAAGCGUGAGUGACGGUAAUGGGUAAAGAAGCACCGGCUAACUACGUG